GUAACAGCAAGGACGAGAAACAGUACUCCCCCACCCUGUGCAGAGAGAACAGGCGGUCGGUGCAAGCCUGGGCAGGCGGCGGAGGAACCCAUCUUUGAGCUGUGCGCCGAACGCAAAGGCUAUUAAGGCGUACCGGGAGCUCCCGUUACAGAGCGCGCAGAGUGCAGGCUCAGCCUGAAUUUAGGUGGUAACACGGAUCAAUGAUUCGCCCUAAAC
rfam:Clostridium sp.CAG:217_53_7 isolate CAG:217_53_7 Ley3_66761_scaffold_20492, whole genome shotgun sequence.